rnacentral:rRNA from 1 species
CAGUAGCCACGGGAAUACGGAGGGCGCGAGCGUUACCCGGAUUUACUGGGCGUAAAGGGCGUGUAGGCGGCCUGGGGCGUCCCAUGUGAAAGGCCACGGCUCAACCGUGGAGGAGCGUGGGAUACGCUCAGGCUAGAGGGUGGGAGAGGGUGGUGGAAUUCCCGGAGUAGCGGUGAAAUGCGCAGAUACCGGGAGGAACGCCGAUGGCGAAGGCAGCCACCUGGUCCACUUCUGACGCUGAGGCGCGAAAGCGUGGGGAGCAAACCGGAUUAGAUACCCCCGUAGUCCCUGUCUCUUAUAC